UUUCCUCUUCGGAGGCACCUGCACAGGUGCUGCAUGGCUGUCGUCAGCUCGUGUCGUGAGAUGUUGGGUUAAGUCCCGCAACGAGCGCAACCCUUAUCCCCAGUUGCCAUCAGGUAAAGCUGGGAACUCUGAGGAGACUGCCGGUGAUAAACCGGAGGAAGGCGGGGAUGACGUCAAGUCCUCAUGGCCCUUACAUCCCGGGCUACACACGUGCUACAAUGGCAGGUACAGAGGGCUGCGAAGCCGCGAGGUGGAGCGAAUCCCAGAAAACCUGUCUCAGUCCGGAUUGAAGUCUGCAACUCGACUUCAUGAAGGCGGAAUCGCUAGUAACCGCGAAUCAGCAGGUCGCGGUGAAUACGUUCCCGGGCCUU
rnacentral:rRNA from 1 species